rnacentral:lncRNA from 1 species
UGGGCGACAGAGCGAGACUCCGUCUCACAAAAAAAAAAAAAAAGAAAGAAAGAAAGAAAAAAAAGAAAGAAAGAAAGAAAAAAAAAAGAUUGAAGUUUCCUCUGGAGUUAAGACUAAAAGGACACUAUCCCAACAACCAAAACAUUGAACUUUCGUGGCAAGCUUUGGUAGCACACAGGCCUUCAGCUAUUUUACUGUAGUGCAUAUGUUAUGUGUCCACAAAGCUACGAACAAUUUUUGCUUAAGGAAAUUGACUUUUCAUUGUGAUGAAAAUCCACGAGGACAGGAGAAAAAAAGGAGAAAAGGCCAAGAAGAAGAAAAGAAAUGUGUUUCUUACAUUCUGAGGAAAAUCAGCAGAAUAUGUGAAGUUUUUUGUUUAGUGUGUAAAUUUCAUCACACCAUUCUGAUUGAACAUGUCUAUGAGGCUAAAAUUACAGUGUAUGGAUGAAUGUCAAGUGUUACCAGUUUAAAAAGAUAAUGUCAAUUCUUUAUGAACUGCUGCAUUCUCAUAUGAAUUACAUUUAAGCAUAUGGCUUUUUAACUUAUAUAUUUAUAAUGCUUGCUUUAGUCUUAAUUGUAAAAUUUUCUAUAAGUUACAAAAAUUCACAGCUGUCAAAUCUUUAAUAACGAAAGUGUUUUGAAAUGCUGGCAUUAAGUGUAGACAAAAUUUUUGCCAGCAUAAGUGCUAACGUGUCUGUAAAACAAAAUUAGAACACAUGCACUUUUAGUUUUUUAAGGAAAGAAAUAUACAUCCUGACAUUCAUAUUAUGAAAAGUAGAGUGAUAAAUUAGUCUUUAGGUAUUAGAACAUAUAAAAUAAUGUAUUUUGCUUCAAAAUAAGGAACAAAACACAAUUCACCAAGAAUAUUAAAGAUUAGAAGCCAUAAUCAAAAAAUAAAUGACUCUUACUUCAAUACUCCAAAACUAAAUACAUGAUGAGGUCUACCCUGUCAUUUUUGAUCAUGGUAAAAUCAGGAGCAAAUAUUUGCUGGGCACCCACUGUAUGCAUCUAUGUUAAUCCAGGUUCUCUUAGAAGCAGAUGCUAAUAUGGGAUUAAAUGUGUGUGGAUGGCCAGGGGUAUGGUGAUUCACUCUGGUAACUCCAGCACUUUGGGAGGCCAAGGCUGGCAGAUCACCUGAGGUCAGGAGUUCGAGACCAGCCUGGCCACCAUGGCAAAAAACCCUCUCUACUAAAAAUACAAAAUUAGCCAGGGGCAGUGGCACAUACCUGUAGUCUCAGCUACAUAGGAGUCUGAGGCAAGAGAAUCACUUGAGCCAGGGUGGCAGAGUUUGCAGUGAGCCGAGGUCAUGACUCUGUACUUCACCCUGGGUGACAGAGGGAGACUCUGUCUCAAAAAAUAAGUAAAUAAAUAAAUGUGUUUGGGUUUUAUUAGGGAAAUAACUAUGGGAAAAAUAAAUAGGGGGAACCUGGAAGAGCCAUAAGAGCCCAAAGCAAAUUUGACCCAAAGUGAAAAAGAGAAAAUUGGCUGGACCCAUCCUGGACUGCCAUGCAGCCUAAGAACUAUUCAUUUGAAAUGCCAAAGAUUUUUUUGAGCACAAGUCAGCUGACAAAGGGAUCCCAUGUUUCCUAGGAUCUUAGUCUCUCUGUCACACUCAGUCAUCCACAGGGAUCAGCCUGUCGGGGAAAAUGCUUUGGCACAGAUGCUGAAAUGAAUUUAAAAGCAAAGCAGCCAGGGCUCUAUGUCAAGAAUACUUUCUGUAGCAGAAAGUCUGAGGAGCUUAAUCUCAGGGCUUCCAGAAGAAUAUUCUUGAUGUGAGAUGGAAAAGUACAUGAGAGUCAAUGGCAGAAUAUGUUCCGUUACUACAGGAACCUAUAAUCAAUUUUAAAACCUGCUGAGAUGGUUAAUUUUAUGUGUCAACUUGCCUUGGCUAAGGGAUGCUCAGAUAGCUGGUAAAAAAAAAAAAUGUAUCUCUGAGUGUAUCUGUGAAGGUGCCUCCAUAAGAGAGUCACAUUUGAAUCUGAAGGCUGAAAAAGGAGAUCACCCUCACCAACUCUAGUGGGUAUCAUCCAAUCCUUUGAGGGCAAGCAUAGAACAAAAAGGCCAAGAAAGUGCAAAUUUGCUCGUUUGAGCUGGGACAUCCAUGCUCUCCUGUGCUUAGACAUCAGUGCUCCUGCUUCUCAGGCCCUCAGACUGAGCUAGGGACUUUUACAGCAUUUGAUCCCCUGCUUCUCAGGCCCUUGGGUUUGAACUGAAAUUACACUGCUGGCUUUUCUGGGCCUCUACCUCUAGAGAACACAUGUUGAAACUUCUCAGGUUCCAUAAUUGCCUGAGCAAAUCCCUCAAAAAAGUCACUUCCUAUAUGUCUUUCUAUGUGUCUUAUUAGUUUGUUUUUUUGGGGUGAAACAUGACUAAAACACCUACUUUGAUAUUUUCCACUGGAAACUAAGUUAAUAAAAAAGCUUUGGGGCAUUUUGUUUGCAUCCCAUUCUCAUUCUAUUUCUCUGCGCACCUUCCAUCAUCCUUUCUAUGUUUCAAUCUUUGAUGCCAAGAAAUACAUCUUCCUCUUUGUGUUAUCCGUGAAAGUAAAACAUUCUCUAAAUUUUGAUUUUUGAAGCAGCAGAAAAUAAAAACAGAUGAGGUAGAUACGUUCAGACUCCAUUCAUCUUGGAAGAACCUAUGUCUUCUGAAAAGAAGCUGUUUUUUGGUUAUUUUUAAUUAAAUUUUUAAAUUUAUUAACAAAGUGCCCUAGGCUCUAUGUUGAAAGAACAAGGCUUCAUAUGAGGAUAUAACUCUCUAUACAAUUCCACUGUUUUUAAACUUGUUCAAUACCUGUAAAUCAAGUGUAAGUUGCACACACAGGAUGCCUUAUGUUGGCAUGAGCUUGCCAUUGGUAGGUCUGCAUUUUCACCAUCCUCUUAGUUCAUUCUCGCUUUCUACAGCAGAGGUGAUUCUACAUAGAACAAUGUGUGUGUAUGUGUGGGGCAAGUUGUGAAGGGAGGUUGGGGAACAUAACAGAAUCAUGAGUCUUUCCAUUGCUGAACAACCAGCAUAUCAGUGAAAGAGGAGUGGCCUAGAGUUUGAAAAAAUUCAGAAUAGAAAAGGGGUGACUGAAAGGAAAGGGAUAUUUAGUAUCAAGGAAGAGUCCUAAAACAGGAAUUAGGACAUCUGAGUUCAAGUCCAACUUCAAUAUUUAUUAGCUGUGUGAUUGUUAAAAGAUAACUAAAUUAGUUAAUGUUUGUGUUUAAAAACCCAAAUAAUAAUUAUUAAAGAAAAUAAAAAAUUACCAUAAAAUUUCUAAGAAUAUUAAAUUUCUGAAAAUAUUAAUUCUGAAAUUGCACGUUAUGCAAAUUAAACAAGUGUAUUAUAAAGUAUCUUAAUAAGUAUUUACAUAUACUGUAAACAUAUCUUAAUUAUCUAUAAAUUUACAUUCCUACAAAUGCUACAGCUUAAUUAUUUGAUUAACAAUAUAGAUGCUUUGGUUUGGGUUAACUCAUUCACACAUAUGCACUACAGAAGCCCAAUUCAAACUUAACUCAAAAACACAAAGUAAUUAUUAGUUCAUGUAACAAAGAUGUUUGUCUCAGGGAGCAGUAGAAUCAAAAUGAAAAUAAUAUCAUCUUGGCUCUGCCUUUAUCAGUUUUGCUUAUCUGUGCUUCUCUUUUCUUCCAGGUUUUUUUUUAAUUCCUGUUGCAGAUAACUUUUUUGCCUCAUUGAGAAAGAUGACUUCUGUAAAUCAUAACCCUGUAUGCUAACAGCUAGUGAUCCAAAAUGAAGACAGUUUUCCCCACCAUUUCCAGCAGGAGAGUCCAUUGGAUGAUUCUCACCAUGUCUGGGUCCUUGUGCCCAGGUUUCAGUCAAUUGCUCCUCCCAAAGGGUUGCGGUGUGAUCACUGGCCUAGCACAGCUUAAAUGCUCGGGCUUGUUGUCAUGGAGAACAAAAUACAAAGAAUGAUGAUUCCAGCAAGACCACAGGUGAAAUAUAUUCCGACGAAGAAUGAGAAAUCUAUAGCAUAAUUUGAAUUGUUGAAAACAAGGAAAGAAAUAUCAAAGGAUGCCAUUUAUAGGAUAAGAAUAGGAGGUAAUUGAAAAUUCGAUUUUAUUAGGGCAAAAGCUAACAGUUUGAAACCAGUAUAAAGCACUGGGUGUCUGGGAGAAAAGGAAAAGGAAAGGAAGUUGGGAAGGACCUCAGGCCUAAGAAUGCACAAAUGUCAUUUAUGUGGAAAUUGCACCUUCAAUUUUAAUACCAACUGAUAUCUGAUGUUUCACAGAUAUAUUAUUAUUAAUUAGAGAUGUUACAAAAUUCUGCCUAAGCAAACCCAUCUCUCCAGAUCAGGUGUAUAUUUCUAGCCAAAUUCUACUCCUAUGUGAAAGGAUACAAAGCAAAAUAAAAUAAAAUCAAGAAAUACGAAUACCCAUGUCAAGUCUCAUAUUCUUUAUCUUUGGCCAUUUCGUCUACAUUUUCCACAAUUUUUUAACCUCUCUGUUCAUGAUCUAUUUUUAAAAGUAUAAAAUUCUUCAAUGCCCAGUUUGUUGACAC